GGGGGACCACCCUCCAAGGCAAAACACAGAUAUCGACCGAUAGCGCAUAGUACCAUGAGGGAAAGGUGAAAAGCACCCCGGGAGGGGAAUGAAAGAGAACCUGAAACCGUAUGUUUACAAGCAGUCGGAGACCGCUUAAUAAUAAGGUCGACGGCGUGCCUAUUGAAGAAUGAACCGGCGAGUUACGAAGCCUGGCAAGGUUAAGCAGGAAAUGCGGAGCCGAAGCGAAAGCGAGUCUUAAGAGGGCGCAAGUCAGGAAGCGUAGACCCGAAACCACAGUGAUCUACCCAUGUCCAGGUUGAAACACAGGUAAAAAUGUGUGGAGGACCGAACCUAUAUCCGUUGAAAAGGGUUAGGAUGAGGUGUGGGUAGGGGUGAAAUUCCAAUCGAACGUGGAGAUAGCUGGUUCUCCCCGAAAUAGCUUUAGGGCUAGCCUCAGGGAAAAGAUUGCAGGCGGUAGAGCACUGAUCAGGAGAGGGACCUACCCGGUUACCAAACCCAGUCAAACUCCGAAUGGCUGCAAUCAUACCUGGGAGUCAGACUGCGACUAAUAAGGGCCGUAGUCAAAAGGGAAACAGCCCAGACCAUCAGCUAAGGUCCCCAAUGCCGUGCUAAGUGGCGAAGGAUGUGGCAUUUCAUAAACAACCAGGAUGUUGGCUCAGAAGCAGCCACCAUUUAAAGAGUGCGUAAUAGCUCACUGGUCGAGAGACGCUGCGCCGAAAAUGUCCGGGGCUCAAGCACGGAACCGAAGCUAUGGCAUGAUAGCAAUAUCAUGGGUAGGGGAGCGUUCUUAUAAGGAAGAAGCAUGACCGGAAGGACAUGUGGACGAAUAAGAAGUGAGAAUGCCGGUAUGAGUAUCGAAAAGAAAGGUGAGAAUCCUUUCCACCGAAAGCCCGAGGGUUCCUGAGCAACGAUCGUCGACUCAGGGUAAGUCGGGACCUAAGCCGAGGCGAGAAGCGUAGGCGAUGGACAACAGGUUGAAAUUCCUGUACCGGAUCAAGUCGAUCGAGCGAAGGAGCGACGCAGGAGGGCACAUGAUCGCGCGGCUGGAAGAGCGCGUCCAAGUGCGUAUGUUGCAGCAGAGGAAAACCCCUGCAGCUAAAAGCAGAGACAUGAUGGGGAGUUAAAGGAAACUUUGACGAACUCAUGAAUCCCACACUGCCAAGAAAAACUUCUAGCGAGACAAGAUCCGCCCGUACCGUAAACCGACACAGGUAGGCGGGGAGAGAAUCCUAAGGUGCGCGGGAAAACCCUCGUUAAGGAACUCGGCAAAUUGCAUCCGUAACCUAGGGAGAAGGAUGGCCCCCGGUCAGUGAAGAGCAGAAACGCUCAGAGCUAAAAGGGGCGGCAGAAAAGAGGCCCAAGCAACUGUUUACCAAAAACACAGGUGCCUGCGAAAGCGAAAGCUGAAGUAUAGGUGCUGACGCCUGCCCGGUGCUGGAAGGUUAAGGAGAGAGGUUAGCGCAAGCGAAGCUUUGAACUGAAGCCCCAGUGAACGGCGGCCGUAACUAUAACGGUCCUAAGGUAGCGAAAUUCCUUGUCGGGUAAGUUCCGACCCGCAUGAAAGGCGUAAUGAUUUGGGCACUGUCUCAACGAGGGGCCCGGUGAAAUUGAAAUACCUGUGAAGAUGCAGGUUACCCGCGACUGGACAGAAAGACCCCAUGGAGCUUCACUGCAGCUUGAGAUUGAAUCCCGGUGACAGAUGCACAGGAUAGGUGGGAGGCGCCGAAGCAUUGCCCUAGGGCGGUGCGGAGCCGAUGUUGGGAUACCACCCUUCUGUUGCUGAGAUUCUAACGCGAGGAGUAACGACCCUGCGGACCCUCUCAGGCAGGCGGUUUGACUGGGGCGGUCGCCUCCGAAAGAGUAACGGAGGCGCCCAAAGGUUCCCUCAGGCCGGACAGAAACCGGCCGAAGAGUGCAAAGGCAGAAGGGAGCUUGACUGCGAGACCAACAAGUCGAGCAGGGACGAAAGUCGGGCUUAGUGAUCCGGUGGUACUGAGUGGAAAGGCCAUCGCUCAACGGAUAAAAGCUACCCUGGGGAUAACAGGCUAAUCUCUCCCAAGAGUUCAUAUCGACGGGGAGGUUUGGCACCUCGAUGUCGGCUCAUCACAUCCUGGGGCUGGAGUAGGUCCCAAGGGUUGGGCUGUUCGCCCAUUAAAGUGGUACGCGAGCUGGGUUCAAAACGUCGUGAGACAGUUUGGUUCAUAUCCAUCGCGGGCGCAAGAAGUUUGAG
rnacentral:rRNA from 1 species